UACGAAGGGUGCAAGCGUUACUCGGAAUUACUGGGCGUAAAGCGUGCGUAGGUGGUUUGUUAAGUCUGUUGUGAAAGCCCCGGGCUCAACCUGGGAAUGGCAAUGGAUACUGGCAAGCUAGAGUGCGGUAGAGGGUAGUGGAAUUCCAGGUGUAGCGGUGAAAUGCGUAGAUAUCUGGAGGAACACCAGUGGCGAAAGCGCGUGACUGGGCCACAACUGACGCUGAGGAACGAAAGCUAGGGUAGCGAAAGGG
rnacentral:rRNA from 1 species